CUAGACUAUCUAUAGGAUUACAUUGCAGCCCGGUUUGCGGCUGCCGGUUACCGUGUUCUUGCUCAAUACUUGACCAAUUUAAAGAUUCUUACAUUAGUCACUUA